rnacentral:miRNA from 1 species
CUCACUACUUUGUCGUUCAUG